GACGAACUCUGGCGGCGUGCUUAACACAUGCAAGUCGAACGGAAAGGCCCUGCUUUUGUGGGGUGCUCGAGUGGCGAACGGGUGAGUAACACGUGAGUAACCUGCCCUUGACUUUGGGAUAACUUCAGGAAACUGGGGCUAAUACCGGAUAGGAGCUCCUGCUGCAUGGUGGGGGUUGGAAAGUUUCGGCGGUUGGGGAUGGACUCGCGGCUUAUCAGCUUGUUGGUGGGGUAGUGGCUUACCAAGGCUUUGACGGGUAGCCGGCCUGAGAGGGUGACCGGCCACAUUGGGACUGAGAUACGGCCCAGACUCCUACGGGAGGCAGCAGUGGGGAAUAUUGCACAAUGGGCGGAAGCCUGAUGCAGCAACGCCGCGUGCGGGAUGACGGCCUUCGGGUUGUAAACCGCUUUCGCCUGUGACGAAGCGUGAGUGACGGUAAUGGGUAAAGAAGCACCGGCUAACUACGU
rnacentral:rRNA from 1 species